rnacentral:snRNA from 1 species
CAAAUUAACUGCGGGGAGAUAACGUGAUCAUGAAAAUGGUUUUCCUAGGGCGUGGCUUAUCCCUUGCACUUAGGAUAUGGUGACCCCUCUGAUUUCCCCCAAUACAGAAACUUGACUGCAUAAUUUGUAGUGGUGCUAGACCAUGUUCAUGCUCUCCCA